AUUGAACGCUGGCGGAAUGCUUUACACAUGCAAGUCGAACGGCAGCACGGACUUCGGUCUGGUGGCGAGUGGCGAACGGGUGAGUAAUAUAUCGGAACGUGCCCAGUCGUGGGGGAUAACGUAGCGAAAGCUACGCUAAUACCGCAUACGAUCUACGGAUGAAAGCGGGGGAUCGCAAGACCUCGCGCGAUUGGAGCGGCCGAUAUCAGAUUAGGUAGUUGGUGAGGUAAAGGCUCACCAAGCCGACGAUCUGUAGCUGGUCUGAGAGGACGACCAGCCACACUGGGACUGAGACACGGCCCAGACUCCUACGGGAGGCAGCAGUGGGGAAUUUUGGACAAUGGACGCAAGUCUGAUCCAGCCAUUCCGCGUGCAGGACGAAGGCCUUCGGGUUGUAAACUGCUUUUGUACAGAACGAAAAGCUCUGAGUUAAUACCUCGGGGUCAUGACGGUACUGUAAGAAUAAGCACCGGCUAACUACGUGCCAGCCGCCGCAGUAA
rnacentral:rRNA from 1 species